rnacentral:rRNA from 1 species
UAAAGUCUGACCUGCCCUAUGAGUUAUUAAAUGGCUGCGGUAUUUUGACCGUGCAAAGGUAGCAUAGUAAUUAGUUUUUUAAUUGAGAACUGGUAUGAAUGGUUUGACGAGAAAAAUACUGUCUCAAUUUAAUUUAAAUUAGAAUUUUAUUUUUAAGUAAAAAAGCUUAAAUAUUCUUAAAAGACGAGAAGACCCUAUAGAAUUUUAUAUUUAUGUAUAUAUUUGAAAGUUAAAGAAUUCAAGAUUUAAUUAUAUAUAGAGAUAUUUGGUUGGGGCAACUAAAAAAUUUAAUAAACUUUUUUUAUAAUAAAAACAUUGAUAUAUGAUUAAGUGAUCCAUAAAUUAUGAUUAUAAGAUUAAAUUACCUUAGGGAUAACAGCGUAAU